GAAAUGCGAUAAUUAAUGUGAAUUGCAGAAUUCAGUGAAUCAUCGAGUCUUUGAACGCACAUUGCGCCUCUUGGUAUACCUUGAGGCAUGCCUGUCUGAGCGCCUGAAAGAAGCCACUCAACAAAUGUCUUUUGUUAUGGAGAUAUUAGUUGGAUUUGUAUCAAAGAAGUAUUUUUCUUUCAUUCUUUCCCUCUGGAAAAGAUAAUGACGAAAAAAAGAAACAAAACUCUUUGUAAAUCUAUGAUUGGGGUAAUUCUGUAGAUGCCAACCUUGGGGAGACUUUAUAUUGUCAAGUUGUUUGGUUUUCUAUCUCUAUAUAAGGAUUUCUCAAUCUUGGAAACCCAUUUUGGUUUUGUUUGUGUCAACAAAACAAAACAAAGUACUGGGCCUCAGAUCAGGU
rnacentral:misc_RNA from 1 species